AUUGAACGCUGGCGGAAUGCUUUACACAUGCAAGUCGAACGGCAGCACGGGGGCAGCCCUGGUGGCGAGUGGCGAACGGGUGAGUAAUACAUCGGAACGUGCCCGGUCGGGGGGGAUAACGUAGCGAAAGUUACGCUAAUACCGCAUACGAUCUGAGGAUGAAAGCGGGGGACCUUCGGGCCUCGCGCGCUCGGAGCGGCCGAUGUCAGAUUAGGUAGUUGGUGGGGUAAAGGCCUACCAAGCCGACGAUCUGUAGCUGGUCUGAGAGGACGAGCAGCCACACUGGAACUGAGCCACGGCCCAGACUCCUACGGGAGGCAGCAGUGGGGAAUGUUGGACAAUGGGCGCAAGCCUGAUCCAGCCAUCCCGCGUGCAGGACGAAGGCGUUCGGGUUGUAAACUGCUUUUGUACGGAACGAAAAGGCUCUGGCUAAUACCUGGGGCUCAUGACGGUACCGUAAGAAUAAGCACCGGCUAACUACGUG
rnacentral:rRNA from 1 species